AGCCCGGUCGUCUAGCGGCCAAGGAUGCUGGGCUCUGGCCCCAGCGACGGGAGUUCGAAUCUCCCCCGGGCUACCA
rnacentral:tRNA from 2 species